GACGAACGCUGGCGGCGUGCUUAACACAUGCAAGUCGAACGGAAAGGCCCUGCUUUUGUGGGGUGCUCGAGUGGCGAACGGGUGAGUAACACGUGAGUAACCUGCCCUGGACUUUGGGAUAACUUCAGGAAACUGGGGCUAAUACCGGAUAGGAGCUCCUGCUGCAUGGUGGGGGUUGGAAAGUUUCGGAGGUUGGGGAUGGACUCGCGGCUUAUCAGCUUGUUGGGGGGGUAGUGGCUUACCAAGGCUUUGACGGGUAGCCGGCCUGAGAGGGUGACCGGCCACAUUGGGACUGAGAUACGGCCCAGACUCCUACGGGAGGCAGCAGUGGGGAAUAUUGCACAAUGGGCGGAAGCCUGAUGCAGCAACGCCGCGUGCGGGAUGACGGCCUUCGGGUUGUAAACCGCUUUCGCCUGUGACGAAGCGUGAGUGACGGUAAUGGGUAAAGAAGCACCGGCUAACUACGUG
rnacentral:rRNA from 1 species